rnacentral:lncRNA from 1 species
AUGGAGAGGGCGGCCAGCCUGACAGCCAGGAUGAAGGGAGGGGGAGGUGUGGGGGUCCCAGCAGACGAAGGAGUUGUGCCCCGGAGCCGACCCUAUCCCCCGGGAAUACACCCUGGAGGACCUGACCAGCACUUAGUGGCUCAGCAGCAGCAGGCCCUGAUAAACCAGCAGGCCAUCAUACUGGCCCAACAGAUGACCAUGCAGGCCAUGGCCCUCCAGCAGCAAAUGAUGUCCAACUAUACCCCGGUCCCCAGGUCCCCCCCGACACACUCUCCAGCACACUCCCGCACACCCAGCCCUGUCAAAGAGGGCAAAGACUCACCGACAAAGACUCCGCAAAGAAAAAUCAGUCCGACGACGGCCCCCCCUCCGGAGGCAGUGGUGAAGGCCAGUGUGAACAACACGGAGCGCCUGGACCCCAGCCACGACAUCAAGGACAUCGUCAAACAGCACCAGCCCCCCGCCACCCCGGCCCCCACCCAGACACCUGGCUCACAGAGAAAAGGCGAUGGGAAGGCGUUUGAGAAGAAAUCAGACCCCCACGAUGAAGCGAUGGAGAUCCUCAAAGAUCAGAUGGCCAACCCACCAGCUCAAACACCAAAGAAACCGGCCCCGCCCAAAGAAGGGGGAGGAGCUAAAGCCAACAAAACAAUCAGACGCCGACCAAUGACCACGCCUUCCACCACGGGCCCCCCCCCUCCCACAGGUACCGUCAUUCAGCACUUUCAUUGGUAA